CCCGCGAGCGAGCAAACCGACGACGUAAGCGGGAGGAGGAAGACGGCGGAGACGGAUUAUGACCGAUUGCGCGUAAUAAAAGCGACGUGGCCAUUCAGAGCCAAUCAACCGCCGCUCGCCAUUGACGCGCGCUUUUUCGAGCCGCUCGAGUGUACGUAAUUCACACGUUUACUCUCUUGCCCGACGACGACGCCAGGGAUGUAUCGUCGCCAGCAGGUUCGGCGAUCGCCGAGAGGGACAAGUCACGUUCACGGUAAUGCGAAUGGUAAUGUAAUCCAGAAUAGAAAUUGCCGCGGCAAUCUCGCAGUUGGCUUCACGGGAGACACGCUCGCGUUGUGCGCGCCAACAACACACCACUGGAAGAAAACUUUCCAGUCAUCAUCUCCCGGAUUUAUUACUCGCGUUCCUGUACGUCGCAAAAAGCUCUUACAUUACGCUCGAGUGUUACGUUAUGAUUAAAAAAAAAGAAAAGAAUAGAGAUACAGGUUUUAUUCUGCGAAAAGUAAUGUGGCAACGUCGAAAUAUCAUUAUUCUGAUAUACGAGGUAUUUGUGAUAUUACAGGUAUCAAGACGAAAUUCUUCUUAUCGCGUGUAAACACGUGAAUCAUCGAUACGUAGAUAAAUCGUCCAAAACGAAUAAUAAAGUAGUUAAAAUAUCGUCCACGAUGAACAUACGUGUGCUAAUAAGAAUGUAUCCUAAUUUGCGGCAUUAACAAGUAUUCAGAUAAAACUUUCGUUAUGUAAAUCAUUGAUAUACAGAUAAUAAAUCGUUCGAAACAAAUGUGUGCGAUGUGGUAGAAAUUGAAUGGGCUCUCUUUCAACGCCGCAAAAAUUUCCCCCUACCCUCCCCAUCGUCCCCAUCGGUGCUCCGAUUACCUACCUCGCUUAUCGCCGCGCGCCUUCAAUUGCGUGUGUUAUUACAGAGAGGAAAUGAUUUGCGCAGAUAACAGCACGGGCUCUGAGUCACAUCGAAGGAAAGCUUAGAAUCGUCUCGUAACAUGAUCGACACAACAAUAAUCGCGCCGAGGAAGGUGUCGUGCGUAUCGCGGGGAGGGGUGGCGGGGGGGAAAUUGCCCGUAGAUAUGUGACCGUACUUCAAACACGUAGCCCCGAAGUAUAAUUGCGGGUCGCCGUGUUCCGCGAGGUACAAUUUUUCCCGUCAAGGACAUACGUCAAACGGUACGGGAUUAACAAUUUUAUAACGGCACUUCCCCCCCCCCUCCCCUCUUGGCGCCAGAUCAUCCGUCGCUUUUACGAGUGGAUCGCUUGUCCUUGAGGCGAUCGCAAACACGCUGAUAUUGGGUAGAUUAGGGAUCUCUCUUAGGUUUCUCGUUACGUAAGUCGCGAAAUAGACUAUCUCGAUUUUUUACUCAAAGUACCCUUAUGUACGGUCUCAAAGUGUACGCUUAGCUUUUUGCAAUAACUUUCGUUCGGGCGAGCAAACCUGCCCCUUCCGCUUCCAUUUCUCGCAACGUCAAACGCCAGGGCAAGGAAUAUUCAAAGGAAUCGAAAGGCAUAAUUGCGCAUCGCUUUUGUAAGCGAAGAAGCGUUUGAAAUAUCCGAUGCACAAAGGCUGUCAUAACUCUCGUCUUUUCCCUCCCCCCCCAUUUGCCUGCUGCUCCCUCGCGCGCAAUAUUAUAUCGUGUAACAUCUUUGUCAUUUAUUGUGCAAUGCAGCGUAAGAUAGCGUAGCUCGUGAAAUAAUAUGAAUGUAUUGUCGACCUGUCAUCGAUCGCGAAAUUGCCCUGGAUAUUUCGCAAGGAAACAACACCGGGAAAGGUCAUCUUUCUAAGAAAAACGUAUAGUUACCUUUUUGCCGCGUGUUCGAGUUUCUUGCCCCGUAAAUUUCUUUACGCAAAAGCUAUCGACGAGAAAAAAAAAUGCAUUGGUAUCUCUCGCUGCUCGAAGCUAAAGAUCUUUUCACUCGCGCGCGUUCUCUUUACUUAAAAAAUUCCGCGGAUUUAUUUAUAUCAAGACGGAUAAGAGAACCGCGUCAUUGUAUACGCAGGCAGAAAUAAAAUAACCUUUCAUCAACCGCUAAUCAGUCAUCGAACGACGGGCCAGCGCGAACCAACAAUCGACAGCACGAUAAACAUUCGCGCGCACACUUUAUCGAUCCCACCAAUGACAGGGGGCGUUAUCGUCAUUGAUUGUAACCGCUAUGCGGACUGUCGGAUCGAUAUUUCGCGGGGACAAACCUGUUUCCCUCCGUGGGAAACACGAGCCGUGUUCUAAAAACAAUCCAGCGUAAUUGCUUUCGUUUCGCGUCGUAAGAGUAAACAUACCGGCUAGGAGAGAAUCCAGGAGCAAUCAGCGUCGUCGCCCGCGGGGAGUUUCACGACACGUGAGAACUUCAUUUAAAUCACUCGCCGAUAUGUGCCUCGUUAUCUGGAAUCGUGACCCCCUGACACCCCGGGCGGCCGAGAGUAAUGAUGACGAUUGCGCAACAGGCGGAGAGAAAAAGAAACGGGCGCGGAAGCGAGCCGAGGGAUUUCGUCACGCAACUCGAUUUAUACUCGUUUGCACUAGCAAUAGAAAUUCUCCUGCGUGGCGUUGAAAACUUUUUUUUGACACCGUAAUGUAUGCGAGAGGUGGUAAAUCAAGGCGCGAGCGUGAGCGCGUGUCGGGAGAGAAAGAUGAAUAACGUAUAAAUAUCGAUCGGGAUCUCGCUUUCCUUGAGCGGGUUUCGCGGUACGCCUCCCCUUCCUCCGCCCCGCGAGCUGCAUCGAGCGAAAUUAUUCCGAUCGCUGUAUUUUCCACGCAAAUGCACGGAGACGACAAACCCCGGGCACUUUUGAACGCAACGAUGGCUAAGUAGCACGAAAUCCACGCAGUAGAAAACAUUUUGCAUUUAUGUCGAAAGAUGAUCCUUGUUAAAAUUCUCGUGUUGAAUAUUUAACAUACUUCGCGUGUCAAUUUAACGCAAUGUGGUUGAUAUUCGACAUUCUUAUGGGUAAAUGAACAAAUAUAAAAAUAACGUAGUUUUGAAGUUCAUUGCAAAUGUUAAUUUUAUAUCGCAGCAUGCUUCCAUAAUUGCAUUUUCCAAAUUAAAUCGAAGUGUUACAUUUUUUUUGUGUUACUUUUUAUACGCAGUAGCUGUGCUACUUUCUAACGUAUCCAACUUGUGUUAAAUUAGCACAAAAAUUAUGAGUGGCACGUGCGGCGUAUGUUAAAUUUAACACGAAUUUUCCAACUGUGCACACGGAGGCUCGACCUUCGCGGACACUCGACGGAAAUCGAGGCCGGUACGAUUUCGCAAGGAUUGCGCGAAAUCGCGCGAGCGCCGCGUAAGAGGAGAGGCGCGCGUUAGUAAGCGAAAUUGAAGCGCGAUACCGAAUUCGCGGCGAGUUUCGCGAACGCGAGGAGCGCUUAGAACGUGGAACGCUAUCUUAUCGCAGAUAUAGAAGGCGCGAGAAUAUUACGCCGCCAUCGCAAACACAGAUAACAGUGAGAUAACUCUUGAUAAGGCGAAACGAAGACCGUUCGGUUUAUUUUUACGACCACGCUCGAAACAGCGUCGAAACGACGAAGGAAAAAAAGGGGAGAGAGAAAAAAAAGACACGUGUGCCUUUCACCUGUACGCUCUCGCCCUCGAUCGGACGCAAAGAAUCGCUCGAGGAUGAAGUUACGACUCGAGUACCAUCGAAUCAGUCGCAAGAUCCGGCCGUAAUUACACCUUUAACGACGCGACCGCUGUUGUGGAAAAAAAAGAAGAUGAAGUCUUAAAAUCCUUCUCGUCACACGUAUCGGCAACGAAUGUAUAUUUUUAUCGCCACGAAUAUUCUCGAGACACUCUUAUUACAGAAGGGAAGAAAAAAUAUCUCUCUCCCAGACGGAGAUAAAAUUUUAAAAAAAUUAUAUUAACCUCGGAUUAGGCGCGAUUUAAGAGUUUCGCGAUAUAUUUAGCACUUUAAAACUCUCGGGGAGCUUAACAAGAAGAUAUAAAGACUUCGUAUUAAAUAUAUAUAUAAUUUUUUAAACUUUCGCAAGACCUAAAGAUAAUGGCGAAAAUUAUUUGUUAUUAAUAACUUUUGGUCCGUAAAAACCUUUCACUCUUACCUUCCGUUCAUCCUGAUAUACUUUAAAAUCUGCCUCGCGCAACAAGUGAAAAUAAUAUUUUCAGCAAAUAUCGACCGACGCGUAUACAACGUGGAAUAAAUAUUGACAUUUUUUCAGUCGUCAGGCGAGUCAUCUUACAUCCAAUAAAUAAUUUCUUUGAAUUUUACACAUUUCGCCUUUAUGAUUUUGAAUCACGUGCCAAUUACUACUCGGACCUCCUGGAACGCGCAAUUUUAUAGAACAUUGGGAAUGUGUAAUAUCACGUUGCCACAAUCGAUACUUAUUUCCUCCGUAUCGAAAGUAAUGCAAGGCGAAUUUACCAAUCUCUCUCUUCGACACACGCAACUGCGACGAACUUGAAAGGAGCUGCGCCAAGCAGUUUGUAAACGGCUAAAUUCGCUGACGACACGUCGGGGAAGCCUGACGGCUUCUUAUGCGAUUGGAUACGCAACAUGAGGAACGUCGACUGCUGUGCACACACUGUUGUGUAUCGCAAACUGCGCGCUAUCGUCGCCACUAGCGCACGUAGAAGGUGCUUCGUAAGCUUUCCGACGAAGUUCCCGCGAUAAGUCUAAAGGCCGCCCUAUUCGGCAGAAACCCAACGCUCUGUCACCGAUCGUCUUUCCUGAAUCAAAUAUUUAAUUUCUUUACCGGGAAGAAGGCUAAAGAAAAUUUGGCCCUCCAUCUUUUCCAUACGAUGUUUGUCGCGCGGAAAUAUUUCGCGUAUACUAGAAUCGCGAACGUAUUCGGGAAUAUUUCAAGUGCUAUUCCCUUCCGGCUCGAAAAAGCCGGAAAAAUAUAUAUAGAAUACCAGAUGACCAAUAAAUAAACAAUGAACCAGUGUACCAGCCGUGUCGAGUACGACGUGUGUGCAUACACACACGCACACACACACGUUGGACCUACACGGUACUAUUCAAUGCCUGAUGCCUAACGGGAUCUUUGAAUUUCUAUUGUGCGUCUCUAUUCAGCCCCGGCACAAUGGCACGCACAGAGAGCGAUUAUUGUACGAGUCUCUCGCAGCGCACAGUUGCAGGUAAAGCGACGUCAAAGAAAAUUCAUCCUGCAUACCUGACCCCGCGGUCCCGAAACCGGUGUGUAUAUCGCGCAAUUACGGGCGACGUUAACUACCGCGGUCGGCUAACUGUCGUACCGCGCGCGAGAAAUUAGCGAAAGACGGCAGCACCGACUUUGUAACACGCUAAUGAAUAUACGCCUCUGAAUUUCCCACCGACAUGCUGUAGCGUCGAGAGACGUAGGAGAGCGGCUUAUAGUGACCUUUUUACGCUUGCGCCGACGAACAAAGGAUUACGUGGUAAUUCCAUCCAGCUAAACAUUUACAGUUGCGCGUUACGUAAAAGUGACUUGUCUACUUCCGCCAAAGAUUUGAAAUUACCGUCUGCCACGUGGAGAGGAACGAUCCCGCGAAGGAUACGAGCAUUAAUAUCGGACGGUGAUUGAGGUGUCGAGCCGCCUCGACGUGACCUUUUCCGCGACGGGGAACCUGCCCCAAGGUCCGUGCGCGCAGCAACGGUGUAAUUACGAAGCGCCGGGAUUUCGUUCGUCGAAGCUGACCGUGUCAUUAAUUUCCAGCCCCGGCAGCACCGCCGGCCGGCCCGAAAACCUUGACUCACCUCUCACGCGGGAAGCGAGGAGAAAAAGAUCCGGAGUGCUCGCGUUGCGCAACUCCCGUUGAAACGCGCGAGAGCAGUGGCGUAAUCAAGGUUUAGCGCUCUCGCGCUCUCGACCGGCCCUUCACUCCUUAAUACAGACAGGUCGAUGUCGAUUUAUUAAUCCGCCUUUCAUCUCUCCCCGAGAGAUCACCGAGAAGAUAAUCAGGAUCGAGCAGUAAUAUACGCAAUAAUGUAGGCACGUGCGUUGCCACGACAGCGCUGAGGUAAGACACAAACGUUAUCGACAUCCAAGGACGACAAUAGCACACGACUGCGACGUUAUGUCACAUGGUCGACGAAGUUUAGCUCGACGUUCAUCCGGUUAUCUCGAAUUUUUCUCUGACCUGACGUUCCUUUUGUUUUCAAUGUUAUCUCUCUUUCGUUUGUUCUCUAUGUCGUAAGGUAAAACUCUCGGACGCGUAACGAUGCAGAACCCAAAGUUGCUGAAUUCUCGUUAAGGAUUCGCGAGAUAAAUUGAUCUAACUAUAUAAUAAUUGAAAUAUAUGGUCAUUAUUAAUAUAUUUUUUAAAAAUCUUGAUUAUUUCGAAAACAGUAGACAGAAUUACGAAUGAACAAUUAAAAACACUUGCCCUUAACGAACUAUCUAUCAAAAACAAAUGCAAAAAUAUUAUAUUGACAGAUACAUAAAUGUUUCCUAACAAGUUUUAACCUGUUGUGCAAAAAAUUUACUCUUUAACGUAUUUCAGCGCAGUAAAAGAUAUUUAACCUUAUUAAAUAAUUAAAUCACCGGGACGUUUACCCUACGUCGAAGGGUACAUUACAAUACUAAACGUCGCAUAUUUCACUCGGGAAGAAUUCGCAGUAUUCCAACUCGAUCCCUCCCCUUUCCGCCUCGUUCUCCGCUCACCUUACGCAAAGUCCGCUAAUCAAGCGAAUUUUAACGUCGUCAUCACGCGCGUGCGAAUCGCGGCGGUCAAAGGUAUCAUCGCCACGACGACCUUCGCCGCGAUCGCGUCGUUGCAUCGGCUAGUUGCCGCGCGCGGACGGUGUCGCCGACCGCGCGCGCGCGCGCGCGCAGAGGAAACACGCCGGCGAGCGGAUAUAUCUAACGGGUCGCCCAAUUUACGCCCCCUCCCCUCCCGCCGCACCCCGCCACGCCGCGGUGUAACACGCGAUCAAACGAGAUUAGAGCCCCGCACACAUCGCAUCCGUGCAUGCGCGCGCGAGCGCUCGUAUGCGGUCGUAACUCCGGGCUAAUCCGCCUAACGCCGUCCGUUACGGACUCUCUCCAUACGCGGUGUCGGGUGUGCUCGCCAUCGCGUAUUACGCCAUCGUGUGCAUGUGCGCUCUCUGUCUCUCUCUCUCUCUCUCUCUCCCUUUCCUCUCGAGUGAGCGCAUGCAUAUAUGCAUUGAGCCGCGGCGGCGGCGGCGCAUAUGGUACAUACGCGGUGCACAUAUGUACGGACGAUGGCGUGUGUGACCCGCUUACGGGAGAGAACGCGCGACUUGCUUUCGCGUAUAUUAUGGAUAACUGUACUGCCAAGGAGAAAGAGAGAGAGAGAGAGAGAGAGAGAGAGAGAGAGAGAGAGAGAGAGAGAGAGAGAGAGAGAGAGAGAGAGACGCGUUAAAAAUCGCGAGUAACGAAACGACAAUCCAGUUCCACAAUUCAAGCGUUUUUGCUAACGUAAUCCGUCUCUGAUGCCAUUGUUUAAAUUCCCCGCUGCAAAAGCGAGUUCACGAGGAGGAGCCCGACGGAGGAGCUGGGGGAUCAUCCGUCGCGAAAAAUAUUGCGAGGAAAAUCUACCCGGGCCGAUGAUCCUGCACACCGGAGUGCGCGCCCCGGCGACUCUAUUGUUGCGCGCCGUCGUCGCGCGGAGUGCAUAAUUAAUGACCUUCGUGCCGGCGAGUUUUGCAUUGCAAAUGCCACUCGCGGAACGUUCGCACGCAAGUUAUGUAUGUAUAUGUAUGUAUGCGCGCGCGCGUAUCCGUGCCAGGAAUGAAGAAAAAGACGGCGAGGAGGGAAGAGGAGGGGCGGAGGCGGCGGGGAUGAACCGUUCUGUCGACGACAGGCGGUGUGAAAGUUUCGGGUUCGCCGACGAUGACGACCGUAAUUUCGCGCGUUAAGCCUUCUCUCCUCCUCGUGUAUCACUAUCGACGGUGACAUCCUUUUUCCCCACCCCGCGCGUCUCACGUCCGUUCGUCAUUCACCGGCAAAAGCGUAUUUCCGCGCUGCAUAAUCAAUUAUCCGACCGCUAACGAUAAUUACGGAAUUUACCGCGAGGCUUACCCAUUGACCUCAAAAACUAUUCAGAAGAACGCACUACGAAAUAUGUAUGAAAGUGUAAUUGGCAAAAUGAUUCGUUUGGCAAAUUGUCAAAAAGAGAAAUAAGAAUAGCAAAUUAAAAUCUGCAUAAUCAAUACAAGUCACAUUGCCAGAGUGUAAUUCUAAUUAAGAUAUGCGCCAUUGUAAUUAUACAUUGAACCGUAUAUCAGUCGAUCGGUUAAUAGCGCCGGCCUUUCCCGAGUUAUUUACGGAAUAGAAAACUGUUCAAACAAAAACAAGCGGUAAAUGUCUAGUGUGUACAAUAUGUAUAUUGUCUCUGCAGGCAAUUAACAAGCUUAAAAGUCAUUUCCUCAGUAUAAAACUUUCAUACCGAUCGUCUGGUGCAAAAGAGAACGAUAAAUUGUUUGUAGCGUUACUUAAAUAAGAGCUAAGAUAACGGUUUGCAACGCGUGAUUAAUUAGAUCUAGAUAUUUUAUAAGUAAUUUAUCGUUAAUAUUUCUGGACAUCCAUCAUGUGACAUUAGACAUACAAUGCCAAUUUAGAAUAAACACUGUCUUUUAUUGUCACUGAAUUUUUAAUAAAAACUCGAGUCACGCGAUAAUGUAUAUAUGAAUGUGUAUCAUUUAUUGCUAAUCAGUUGUUGAGUUAUUGUACUAUCAAAAAUAGAAAAACUCAUAAAAAAUGAUUUUGUUGAAAAGAGGCCGAGUUUAAAUUAAAAAAUAAAUUCCAAACAUUUCCCUGCAUUCCAAUAAAAUUCCAUAAAAAGAAUUUUCAAGGAUAAAACAGAAAAUUGAUUUCCUGCUUUAACCGGUAGCAUUUUGACAAAUGGCAAUUUUUGCUAGGAUAAAGAUGUCCAACUGUUUAAAUAGCUUGUCGAUUCUUUAAAAAAAGAAAUUGGUUCUGCGUUUUUCUUACAAGAUUUUGAAAUAUGUGAUCCAUUGUCAAAAAUUAUCGCCUUGCAUUACCUUGACUUUUCUAAUUGGGGGGAGGCAGUUACUAUUUGUCUAACGAUAAAUCGGUUCCGAAAUUUACUAAUCGGAACCACAUGCUUUCGGAAAACGUAGAUAUUUACAUAAUACAAAUUCAAAAGCGAUAGUCUUUAUCAAAUUAUUUUUACUCUUCACGCUCUAAAAAAAUUUUUAAUAAAUAAGCAAUAGAAAAAUUGAAAGCGCGAGUGAUUGAAUCAAGAUAUUUCGCUUUUUAGACAACUAUUGCUCUUAUCAUCAAUUACUUCAGUACCAUUCUAUGACUCUAAUUUAAAAUCGCUGACACAUCAUAUUUGCAAAAUUAUUUAUAUUAUUGCAUUCAUCUUUUUCCUUCUUUUUUUGCUCAUGUCUGUGCAAAUUUAUUUUAAUCUAUUUUCGAUUGUUAACGCCAGUAGUCAUAGUCACGUUGCUCAUUCUUCUUUGGAUGUAGUCAACAACAGAUGUGUGUUAAAAAUAAAUGAAAAUUUAUUUAAGACUUGUGCUGUAUAUCUCUGCACGUGUGAGCCAAACGGAAAAGCAAAACUUUGAAAUGUCCGUAUUAAUUUCAUUAUAUUCACCUCGAGAAUAGAAUAUAAUUGCAGCAACGAGCGACAGCUAACGAGAAAUUAUCAAGUGCGGAUGCAUCGUCGAAAUCCCACGCUCGCGUUCGCGCCCCGCGUUUUUCAACGAAAUCGUUAGCCAAUCUCGGAUGUGCUGCUAAACGUGUGUCACGGUUCGCCGACGGUGGCUUGGCGAGAUGCCAAGGUCGGCCACGGGGCCGCGCGCGAAAUGAACCCGCGCUAUUGUGCUCGGAAACGCGUUAAUCGCGCUUAUCGGACAAUGCACCGAUGCGUCGAAGCAUCGCAAACCUGUUCGCUGACCCUGAUGCGAAUAUCCUGAUAUCGCGAACACGUCGAGUGCAUUCAAGAAAAUCACUCUAGAGCAAAAAGUCCGACUGUACGUUGAAGGCAAGAAGAAUUUUAUUCUUUAAUUUGCUACUAAGUUAUUAUAAUGAGUGUAUGAUAAGUCGAUCGGUGAAUGUAAUGAAUUUUCUGUACGAUUAAGUUAUUAAGAAUAACUUUACCUCAUUUUGAAAAUUUCCAAUCUCUUCCGAAGUCCACGAAUUAAGAUAAGAAAUUAAUGCGUAAUGUAAAUGUUCUACAUCAUAGGUAUUUAAUACAGGCGAUAAACACGGUUUUUGAAAAUAAUUAUUCUCCAUUCACCACGAUUUUGUUCCACAAAAAUUGUUUUCGUCAAAUUUUCUAUGUUAAUACUCUUUGUAAUAGUCUACAAUUCCAGACAUUAACAAUGCACAGAUUAACAGACGACAUAGAUUAACGACUUUACGGCCGGCGGUUAUGAAUAAAAAUAAUUUAUGCCGAAAGAAUUUUGUCGCGCGAUGAAUAUUAACGUUCGAUACUCUUUACCGUAGACACUGGUAAACACUGAAUUACAAAUGCAUGGAACACUGUAGAAUAACUUCGAAGUAUUUCACGAAUGUUUGGAACUUUGUCUUUUGAAGACCAUACACCGGACGAGCAAGAAGAAGACUGAGAGGUCUGUGAACGAUCCAGUCGAGAAUACCCAGCAGCCAAGAUUUUCCCGCCCUUUUCACUAGUCCCGGUUAAUUGUUCUACACACUCAUUUCUAUAUGCUUGUUCUUUGCAAGGCAUUAUGUUCAUAUUUAUGACCUGCAAAAAGGUAAAAAUUCGUUUCAUAGGUUAAGAUCCUUUUUUCCCGAAAUUUAUUCACAUGUUUAAACUCAUAUCGGAGAUUACAAAUUGUCCGUUUACGGUUCUCAGUUGAUUUCAACCAUCACCCUGCAGCAAAACCCCGGUUUUUGUUGGCAGUUAUAAUUUAGCUCCGUCAACCGUAUAGUCUAACAUAAGGUUUGCUCUUCGUAGCUGCACUGCUGUACUGGUACAAUAAGUUAGAACGAGAAAAAAUAUAUUUGUCUUAUUCUAACUUAUGGCACCAGCGCGGCAGUGCAGCGACAAAGAAAAGGCCUGUAGACUAUCUACAGUCUAACACAGGUUUUUGUAUGCCCGGAUAAAAGGUUUGGGUAAAGUUUAGAUAGUGCAAGAAUUUGUCAUGUGUGUAAAAAUUGCACUGCUCGCGUAAAACAAUAAUUCAUUUAUUUUUAUACGUAUUAUUUUUCUGAAAGAAAAAAAACCUAUAUUCUUAUUUUUGGAUACGUAUUCUUUCGUACAAUAUUUUAAUUUUAGUAACUAAAACAUUUCCGCGUUGCUUUCUUUUGAGACGAGAACAAGCUUACAACAAACAUGUGUUUCAAACGAGUUAAUUUCAAUCAAAAACAAGAACAAACACAAGACUGAUACCGCCAGUUACAGAUUGAUUUCAAAUGAUUUUAAAAAUAACAAACUUUGAUUAAUUAUUGUAUUUGUGAUCUUUCAAAAAUGUUUGUCCUAAGAAUUUCCCUUUCAGAGAAGGAAAAGCGAAGAGAAAGCAGAGCUGAGUGUAAUAUUUUCGAUACAAUUUCUACUCAGCAGGAUCAACAAUGGCAAUUCAUUAUCGAUUCUUCGUAAAUUCUUUGUAAGUUUCUAUGCGAACCAAGUUUCUUCACAAUAAUCCCCAUUUCUCCAAUUAUAUAAAUAAUGACUGCAAAAUAAUGAUUUUAUCGCGAAAUUUCCUCAAGGAGAAUACGCCCUCCUCGCGAGAAACUGCUUCUUCGUUAUCAACUCGGUAAUUGUUGAACGCGUAGAACGAAAAGGCUCUUUAAUCUCGAAAGUGAGAGAAAACAAUAGACGCAAAUAAUUGGUCGAUAAGGAUUAAAUAAUCUAGAAUGCUUUUACCAUUUUCCGUCAAAAUUCGCUUUCUCUAGCAAGAUAGCUAUUUUUUUAAAUAAAAAUUCAGUACUGUUUGUUGCCUUUUGUGACUUUUUUCUAUUUAUAUUAUCUCUUAGAAAACACAACCCAAGAGCCCAGAAGUGUUCUUUUCAAUUUCCGAAGCCAUCUAAAAUCGGAAAGAAAAAAACGGAGAAACCAAAGGUCGAUGAGAAAACAGACAAAUCCAACGCAAGUAGCGCCUUCGAAGAGAUAAGAAAGAGCGCGCCACAGGAUGAAAAACGAGCAGUAACACAUGACUUACCUUCUGUCUUUCUUGUGCAAUCCUGAGCGACUCCUCGAAAUGCUUAUGAACUGCCUGCUCGGCCCUCUGCUUCUCGAGUUUAUCCCGUUCCGCCUUGGCCGCCUUCUCUAGCUCGCGCAUUUCCGUUUCACGGCGUUCCCUGUAACAGGUAAACAAACGAAAAUUUAGUUUCCCGCGCGUUUAUGCGAAUCGCUCCUUAUAUAAAUUAACCCGCGGCUUACAGGAUCGUCGGCAAUUAAGAGCAGAUUUACAAGCGCUUCGCGAACCCACCGUGGCGUUUAAUAGAUUUCCAGUUGCGUCGGAGUCAAAUAUAGCUUUAACGGCGCGUAAUCCUAUAAACUAUGACUCAGCUUGCAAUAGAGUCCUUAAUUACAAGUCAAUAGAAAUACACCACUUACGCCACUUAAUAAUUACUAUGAUUUGUAAUCGUUUUUACAAACGAACGUCACGGUUAAUGAAGUCCCCAGACUCGUCUCGGUUAAUAAAGUCCCCUUUAUCUCUGUUUUUUUUUCUGUCCAUACGUGUGGAAGUCGAAAGUGAGUCAUCCCGAUUAGUUAAUCGGCCCAUUAGCAUGUUUUCAUUUCGAGCUCUCCUUCGAAAGAACCUGACGCGUCGCGAGGCGCAAAGAACGUCUUUAGAGUCUUUAUGCGGCGCGCUCCGCGCAGCGACGCUUAAACGAUAAACGUAAUUUAUAGGCGCGUAGUUUAUACGGCCGUAAAGGAAACUCCUCCACGGCCCCGCUGCUCUCUCAUGCUCCCCCGCACAUUCGCGCGUUCCUUAUCGAUUUAUCUCUGCCCUACGGCCUCUCUCUCUCUCUCUCUCUCUCUCUCUCUCUUCACAAAGCUCGGCGGAAAUCGCAAAUGGCGUAACGCGAGGGGGAGAAACGCAGGGGCCCACAAUUCCCCGUCUCCCUAAGGGCAACGAGCUCCGUCAGCUGUUACCGUUAUGUACUCGACGCGCGGCCGAAAUCAAUCGUCGGAUCUCCGCGUUUCUCCGGUUACUUUUUAUACGCUUCUCGCAAGACAUAGAUUUUCGCGCCGUUUCCUUGAGCUACGCGCUGAAGAUAAAUCUCGGUUUCAUUUAAAUUUAUUUUCUAGUUUUGAGAAUUCGAUGAAUUAAUUUACAUUUGAUGCCCAAGGCUCAGUAAAUUUGCAGCAAACGUUGCAAGCCUCUAAGGGGAAGAGGCACAGUUCCACCGCGAGAUAAUAAUUACGAUAUCGAAAAACCAACGGGUUUAAAACACGUUAUCGUUAUCGUUUUAUUAUCCAUCCGCGUAGCGUUUUAUUUACGUUACUCGCGCGCGGUUUCUCAGAGAGGGAACUCCUCGCUCUAGGAUACGCGUAACUUUUAUCUCUUUGCCUCCUCGCGCGGCAAGAAAUUUCGCUCGUCCCGCAUAAACGCAACGCGCAUCGACGAAGAUAAUAAAACGCAGCGUCUGGCUGGUAUAUCUAUCUAUCCCCGCGACUCUUCGCUAGAGGGGGGGAAGGCGGAGAAGAGCCGGGGCUAAGAUAAGAGCAUUCAUUAACGCUUGCGCAAGUUAUUUAUACUGUUACGUGCGCAACGCGCGUGUUUAUCUGCACGCUCGGUCGGCGGACCUUACAAUGCACGCGCGCGAUAAAUACGUCCGCGCGUAUCUCCUCUCUUUUUCUCUCUCUCUCUCUCUCCUCCCUCAUGUCUGUCCUCGCCGCCGCUCUUUCUCCCGUCCCUUUUAUCUCUCAGCGCGGCGAGUGCGGUGCACUCUCCGUCCUGUGAAAAAGCGGACCAUUGAUUCGUGCACAAAGGUAUGAUCUCCAGACGAGAAAUGGAAGCAAUAAUAACACGCUGACUCAUGAUUGGUGUCUAUUCUGAUGGAGUACUUGGCCGACAUAUUUGUGAUGUUGGUUAAAAUACCGGAAAGGUAGAAGAUAACGUUUGAUCUAUUAUCAGGUGCGUAAUAAAAAGGGCAACGACAUUUCUUUAAAAAAAAAAAAAGAUACGCAAGAUAUUUCUCUCCGGAUGUUGAUCCUUGAGAAUGUUUCCUAAAAUAGAUACUUCAAUAAUGAGUUAUUUUUUUGUGGUGCGUAGAUACGAUAACAAUACUUUAUAUAUACAAUACAGUAUACAUUACUUUUUUUUGUACAAUGUCGCAACGUAUUAAAAUAUAACAAAGAAUAGCACCAGCUAUAAGUACUUUUUUUUUUUCACUUCCUUAUUCAUUCAUCUCUAAGGAACGCGUCAUGCACGCAACACGCGCGACUCACUCCGCGCUUGCACUUCGACAUUUGCGACAUCGCUUGUUAAAAUGCGCUUAAAAACCGCACAUAUCGCUGGUUGUGUAAACGUAGAGACUUAUCUACUCUUGCUGACUGCAUCAUGUUUAACAUCGCGGCGCCAAAACGCAAUUACGCGCAAUCGCGUUAUUAAUCCUCGCUCGUUCGUCAAGUGACUGAAACCCCGUUAUCUAGCGCCGCGAAAUUUUUUCGAGGCCGCGGGUAUGCAAAUCGCACAGAUCGUCAGUUUUAAAGUGAAGUAAUUGAGUCAGACCAUCUUUGCGUGUUCAGCGGAUGGCGGAGAUAGCGGCUCGGUGUCGUAAGGAAAAUGUGCAUUCAGCAGGUUUUCGCCGGAACGAUUUUUUUUUUUUUAAUUAUAACACUUCUGAAAAACGCAAGUGGUAAACAUAGCUCUUAUCGUCACGCGCGCGAAAGUACACGCGACACAAUCAUCGUACAAAUACGCGGCAUAUAUGUAUAAUGAAACUGUGAGUCAAUCUUCAAGAACGUACUUUUCCCUCCGUUUUUCUCUCUGUCGAAAUUUGAAUUCUAUUUUUUGUGUCAAGAAACUUUCAAGGUUUAUUUGCAUGUUAUAUCAUAUUAAAGACCGAAGGUCUAGAGUCUAAAACGUUGAGAAUGAUAAUUAAAAACUAAAAAGAGUAUUAUCGUUCAGAUCAUUUUAGAACCACAAAAAGCUAACUUCGCUCGGAUAAUCAAUAUAAUUAUAACAUGAAAAGUUCGUUAUUAAUAUCGAAAAGGUUGUUUAUCGAUUCGGUGAGGGGCAACAGUUUUUAAAGCUAAGCUUGUACUGAACUUUCCGUGUAUAGGAGUGACAUCGAGAAGCCAGAUACCGUUGGCAUUCGCAUUCGAUUAUACAUACACGGGUCCGACUCUUCGGAAUUGCACGACGACGACGACGACGUGCAUAAUGCGCGCUGCAUAAUGCAACUCAGCAGCGAGAGUGGCUACUGCAGCAAAAAGAAAUGAGACGGGUCACUUCUAGGAGAUUCGUAUCCGAAGUCGCGCAUGCACGCAUUCUUAGAAGAUAAAAAUGUAUCAUAUAAUGCUGCGUAAUCCGAUGUAUAUGUAGGAUACCAUGAAAAUAUCCUUACAAGGUUACAAACUCUGAUAAAGAUUAAAAUUUCUAAUGAUUGAAAAUCAAAAAUAGCAAAAUUAUAUGUAAUGUCAUUAUUUUAAUAUUAGGAAAUGCAUACUGAGAAAAAGAUUAUACAUAUAUAUAUGAGGUAAAUUUAUCUCAAUGAAAUAAAUCUUUAUUUAAAUACGGCGAAACACAAAAUAUUAUUCUUACAAAAUAAAAUCAUAAAUAAAUGAAAAGACAAGAUAUAUUUCACAGAAAUGUAUAUUUUACCAUAAUCAAAUUUUUUUUAUAACCAAUAAAUAUCGAAGGAAAUGUCACAAGUAACAUACUAGUAUUUCGACUUUUUUCCCCAGUGUGUAUAUUCGUCAUUUUUACACAGGGUUGUAAGGUUUAACGAACAAGAGAAAAUUACAAACCUACCCGUUGUGCCAAACGACACAGAAAUUUAACUUUACCUUUUUACCAAAAACUAAACAAUCGAUAUAAAAGUAGGAUCAAAGUCCUAAAAAAAUAUAUUUAAACCCUAAGAAAAUAUUCGUUAUGUGAUUAGGAAUUAGUUGUUUUUUAAAUCGUUGGUAAGAGGAAGAAAGAAGACCUGUUCUUUGUCGCUGCACUGCUGUACUGAUGCACAGUAAGUUAGAAUGAGAAAAAAUAUGUCUUAUUCUCACUCAUUGCACUAGUGCAGACAAAGAACAGGCCUAGAGACAUUUUAGGUAUUUACAUUUGGGGCGAAAAAUCUACUGAAAAAGAAGAGUGGGGAUGAGAAAGGUCUUUCCGCUUCUCUACCUGCCGCUGCCAGUUUUGCCACCCCUAGUUUGAGAGGACUACAAGUCUCUCUCGAGUUCUGAAAAAAAGCUGACUAAAGCCUAACCUGAAUCGGUCAAACUUUUAUCGUUAUAUUAUCAGUGAAUAUUGCAAAUGAACGCCAGCGUUCGAAUGUGAAAAAUUGCAAGAGCUUUUCGGGAACAAGGAUAUUUAAUUAUACGACAGCGAGCAUGAAGUGCGGCAACACAUUUGCAAUGGAUAAUCCUUCUCUUUCGCGUCUCACGUUUGGCCCAGGCGCGACGCGAUAUUUUUCGUAUCGACGUGCCUUCGUGAGAAGCUCGCGAGUGAUGUGCGAUGAAUAGAUUACGGAAUGAUGAGCUCGCUCUUUCGCUGAAUAGAUAGCGAUUAGGGUUAUCCUAUCAGCGAGACGGAUCCUCGCGUCCAUGACCGAAGCCAGCAAGCAAAUACGCCGCCAUUCUGUGCCAGUGUUCCAGCAGCGACAAGGUAAAACAAAAAAUAUUCUGUGAACAGCGAAGAAUCGGUGUAAACGUUAAAACGCAACGGUUCUUUCUUCUAAACCAAGCACAAAUAUGAAUAUAGAUGUGACGACACAAACGCGCGACGCGGUAAAAGUACUUUUUCAAUUUCUAAAAUCUCGUUAGCUCAAAAAGAUCGUGGGAUAAUAGACGUGUCUUCAAGGCUGACUUCGGUUGGCUAUCUUUCUCUCUUGUUCUCGUCGAAAGAAUUAAUAAUUAAUACUGAUGAUUUGCAUAAGCUUCUAAAGUACGCGUGAAAUCGAGAAAACAAGCGGCCGUUAGCACACAUACGCGCGCGCGGCAAGUAAUAAUAUUAUUCCUACGCGAAAGUGUUAAGAAAUCGUGACCCGAGGUCAAAUGGUUCGUAUUCCAUGCGGCGAUAGCGAAAGUCUCGCGUUACUGGACGAGCAAAUAAUAAUAACGAUUGCGGUGCUUUUCCGCUUCUGGCUCGAGUCAAAACAGAGAGAUUGAUCCGUGUUUCGCAUUAAUGUUUACACCGUCGGAGAUUAUUCUUCCGGCGCGAUGUGUAGAGGGUCAUAAAUCCCGUCCAAAAUUUCGGGCAGGCGAAAUCACUUGAUCGGAUCUCACGCCGCGCGGAACACUUAUGGAGCGCGCGCGCGCGCGUAAGAGCAGUCAGCUGUGUUAUCUGGAGGCGCGACGAGGAGAGACAACGGCCACAGAGCUCCCCAUUGUUAACGCUCGUCGCACGCGGAAUCCCAAGGACGAACGAAACGGAUCGACGGCGGCGCGAAUUCACCUUGGCGCGAGAGAUCGUAAUUUGAAUAAUAAACACGCGAUUGCAUAAAUCGCGGCGUACGCCGAGCGGCGUUCAAUUAAGGAUUAAUCGCCGACCCGGCGAGAGAUCGAUCGGUCGAUCGAUCAGAGAAGGAGGGACGGAGGGCAACGGGGGGGGGGAGGACGAAGAAAUAUAAUAGCCGCCGUCUAUAUAUAUCGCCGCUUAUCGAUCACGGUGCGCACCGAUAUUUCAUUCCCGCCUCGGGAGCGAAUUACGGCUCGAUUAUACUUUUCCGACUCCGCCGUCGCUGUUCCCGAUCGAAUCCCCACGCGAGACUCAUGAAUUUUGCAAGGCGCCCCGGGAAUUCCUCGCGUGUCGACCUCCUGAAUCUUUGAUCCAAAUUCUAACGCGGUCAAGAACCAAUCGCGCGAGGGGGGAGAGGAAGGGGAAUAUCACGCGGCAAAGAUCAAGUGCCGUUCUCUCUCGAUCGACCGAGUUGCCGGUUCGCGAUGAUUUCAAUGCAAUUCUAAUUACGGCGUGUGUAAUACAUUAUACUUUUGCGUGACUUGCCGCUCUGCCUAUUUCAACGAUUCUUCACUCUAACGAUUGUAAUUGCAUCCCGUAAUUGUACGUUCCCACCUGCGGUAACUGGCGUAUAUUCGGAAACGAGUGGCCUCUCCCUCGUUACUCAAGAUUCACCGUCGCGCGGCAUUUUAUGACUUCGCCGAUUCCGAAACGAGCGCACACAGUUCCGAGGAAUGUUUCGCCGCACCGCCGGCCGCGGUCCCGGUAUUCCCCUCCGUCGUCCUUGUUUGCACGCCUCUUUGCUCCGUCGCGCGAGGUGAACGCAUUCAGAGAAGGAAGCCAGCGUUAAUUUUCCCCCCCACGGCCAUUAAAUCGCUUCGUGCCGCGUUUCGCAAUACAUUUCGAGCGUGACGGAUACCACGUACGUUACGAACGUGAUCUGGAACGACGACGGUCGGGCAUGUGCCUAACCCGAUUUCGCUGUUGACCGUGAUAAUGCUGUUGAAUUGAACAAAAACUCCAUCGAUUUUGCCGCAAUCCGCCUGCACAUUCGCAAACAGAACGUAACAAUUGGUAAUAAAGCAAAACCGGUCUCCCCGUGUAACGCAAUUUAAUUAUGAAUGUCGAGAAUCGCUAGACUUACUAGAUGUUUAACAUAAAUCGGAUAACACUCGAUCAAAGAGACGCGCAUAAUAAACGAGAUGAGAAAAAAGAUCGGUAUAUAUGUGUGUGCAUAUGCAUGGGCAUAAACUUCUGUCUCGCGACAUGUAAAUUUGAGGCGAAGAAACAGGUGACGUUCCCACUCGUAGUUUCGCACAAAGCGCGAGACAAUUUGCAAGGUAAAUUCAACGGGCGCGUAAAUAGAUCCAGCGACCUUCGUCGCGGCGGAUUUUUUCUCAAUCCUCCUCGCAGUCGUUUCGAACGCGCGACAAAUAAGAUAAUAACCGAA